UACGGGGGGUGCAAGCGUUGCUCGGAAUCACUGGGCGUAAAGCGUCCGCAGGCGGCUUGAUAAGUCGGGUGUGAAAGCCCGGGGCUCAACCCCGGAACUGCACUCGAAACUGUCUGGCUUGAGUACGGGAGAGGGUCGUGGAAUUCCUGGUGUAGAGGUGAAAUUCGUAGAUAUCAGGAGGAACACCGGUGGCGAAAGCGGCGACCUGGCCCGACACUGACGCUCAUGGACGAAAGCGUGGGGAGCAAACAGG
rnacentral:rRNA from 1 species